GGGUUGUGAGGUUAAGCGACUAAGCGUACACGGUGGAUGCCCUGGCAGUCAGAGGCGAUGAAGGACGUGCUAAUCUGCGAAAAGCGCCGGCGAGGUGAUAUGAACCCUUGACCCGGCGAUGUCCGAAUGGGGAAACCCAGUGCAAUCCGUUGCACUAUCGUUAACUGAAUACAUAGGUUAACGAGGCGAACCGGGGGGAACUGAAACAUCUAAGUACCCCGAGGAAAAGAAAUCAACCGAGAUUCCCCCAGUAGCGGCGAGCGAACGGGGAGCAGCCCGGAGUCUGAAUCAGCUUGUGUGUUAGUGGAACGGUCUGGAAAGUCCGACGGUACAGGGUGAUAGUCCCGUACACGAAAGCACACAUGCUGUGAACUCGAAGAGUAGGGCGGGACACGUGGUAUCCUGUCUGAAUAUGGGGGGGACCAUCCUCCAAGGCUAAAUACUCCUGACUGACCGAUAGUGAACCAGUACCGUGAGGGAAAGGCGAAAAGAACCCCGGCGAGGGGAGUGAAAAAGAACCUGAAACCGUGUACGUACAAGCAGUGGGAGCCUCUUUAUGGGGUGACUGCGUACCUUUUGUAUAAUGGGUCAGCGACUUAUAUUCUGUAGCAAGGUUAACCGUAUAGGGGAGCCGAAGGGAAACCGAGUCUUAACUGGGCGUUAAGUUGCAGGGUAUAGACCCGAAACCCGGUGAUCUAGCCAUGGGCAGGUUGAAGGUUGGGUAACACUAACUGGAGGACCGAACCGACUAAUGUUGAAAAAUUAGCGGAUGACCUGUGGCUGGGGGUGAAAGGCCAAUCAAACCGGGAGAUAGCUGGUUCUCCCCGAAAGCUAUUUAGGUAGCGCCUCGUGAACUCAUCUUCGGGGGUAGAGCACUGUUUCGGCUAGGGGGCCAUCCCGGCUUACCAACCCGAUGCAAACUACGAAUACCGAAGAAUGUUAUCACGGGAGACACACGGCGGGUGCUAACGUCCGUCGUGAAGAGGGAAACAACCCAGACCGCCAGCUAAGGUCCCAAAGUCAUGGUUAAGUGGGAAACGAUGUGGGAAGGCACAGACAGCCAGGAUGUUGGCUUAGAAGCAGCCAUCAUUUAAAGAAAGCGUAAUAGCUCACUGGUCGAGUCGGCCUGCGCGGAAGAUGUAACGGGGCUAAACCAUGCACCGAAGCUGCGGCAGCGACACUUAUGUGUUGUUGGGUAGGGGAGCGUUCUGUAAGCCGUUGAAGGUGUGCUGUGAGGCAUGCUGGAGGUAUCAGAAGUGCGAAUGCUGACAUAAGUAACGAUAAAGCGGGUGAAAAGCCCGCUCGCCGGAAGACCAAGGGUUCCUGUCCAACGUUAAUCGGGGCAGGGUGAGUCGACCCCUAAGGCGAGGCCGAAAGGCGUAGUCGAUGGGAAACAGGUUAAUAUUCCUGUACUUGGUGUUACUGCGAAGGGGGGGACGGAGAAGGCUAUGUCAGCCGGGCGACGGUUGUCCCGGUUUAAGCAUGUAGGCGGAGGUUCCAGGUAAAUCCGGUACCUUAUUAACGCUGAGGUGUGAUGACGAGGCACUACGGUGCUGAAGUGAUAAAUGCCCUGCUUCCAGGAAAAGCCUCUAAGCAUCAGGUAACACGAAAUCGUACCCCAAACCGACACAGGUGGUCAGGUAGAGAAUACCAAGGCGCUUGAGAGAACUCGGGUGAAGGAACUAGGCAAAAUGGUGCCGUAACUUCGGGAGAAGGCACGCUGAUGUGUAGGUGAAGCCCCUGCGGGCGGAGCUGAAAUCAGUCGAAGAUACCAGCUGGCUGCAACUGUUUAUUAAAAACACAGCACUGUGCAAACACGAAAGUGGACGUAUACGGUGUGACGCCUGCCCGGUGCCGGAAGGUUAAUUGAUGGGGUUAGCGGCAACGCGAAGCUCUUGAUCGAAGCCCCGGUAAACGGCGGCCGUAACUAUAACGGUCCUAAGGUAGCGAAAUUCCUUGUCGGGUAAGUUCCGACCUGCACGAAUGGCGUAAUGAUGGCCAGGCUGUCUCCACCCGAGACUCAGUGAAAUUGAACUCGCUGUGAAGAUGCAGUGUACCCGCGGCAAGACGGAAAGACCCCGUGAACCUUUACUAUAGCUUGACACUGAACACUGGUCCUUGAUGUGUAGGAUAGGUGGGAGGCUUUGAAGCGUGGACGCCAGUCUGCGUGGAGCCAACCUUGAAAUACCACCCUUUAAUGGCUGGUGUUCUAACGUAGACCCGUAAUCCGGGUUGCGGACAGUGUCUGGUGGGUAGUUUGACUGGGGGCGGUCUCCUCCCAAAGAGUAACGGAGGAGCACGAAGGUUGGCUAAUCCUGGUCGGACAUCAGGAGGUUAGUGCAAUGGCAUAAGCCAGCUUGACUGCGAGCGUGACGGCGCGAGCAGGUGCGAAAGCAGGUCAUAGUGAUCCGGUGGUUCUGAAUGGAAGGGCCAUCGCUCAACGGAUAAAAGGUACUCCGGGGAUAACAGGCUGAUACCGCCCAAGAGUUCAUAUCGACGGCGGUGUUUGGCACCUCGAUGUCGGCUCAUCACAUCCUGGGGCUGAAGUAGGUCCCAAGGGUAUGGCUGUUCGCCAUUUAAAGUGGUACGCGAGCUGGGUUUAGAACGUCGUGAGACAGUUCGGUCCCUAUCUGCCGUGGGCGCUGGAGAAUUGAGGGGGGCUGCUCCUAGUACGAGAGGACCGGAGUGGACGCAUCACUGGUGUUCGGGUUGUCAUGCCAAUGGCACUGCCCGGUAGCUAAAUGCGGAAGAGAUAAGUGCUGAAAGCAUCUAAGCACGAAACUUGCCCCGAGAUGAGUUCUCCCUGAGACUUUAAGUCUCCUGAAGGAACGUUAAAGACGAUGACGUUGAUAGGUCGGGUGUGUAAGCGCAGCGAUGCGUUGAGCUAACCGAUACUAAUGAACCGUGAGGCUUAACCUUACAACGCCGAAGGUGUUU
rnacentral:rRNA from 1 species